rnacentral:rRNA from 1 species
GACGAACCGUGCAAACGUUGUUCGGAAUCACUGGGCUUAAAGGGCGCGUAGGCGGGCUCGCCAGUCAGGGGUGAAAGCCCACAGCUCAACUGUGGAAGUGCCUUUGAUACUGCGAGUCUCGAGGGAGGUAGGGGCGUGCGGAACUUCCGGUGGAGCGGUGAAAUGCGUAGAUAUCGGAAGGAACACCGGUGGCGAAAGCGGCGCGCUGGACCUCUUCUGACGCUGAGGCGCGAAAGCCAGGGGAGCAAACGGG